UCUUGUUCAUUGAAAACUAUUAAGUUGAGCCGGGUAGUUUUUGUUUCGAUUUUUUCAGCUUUCUGCAAUAUUAAGCCCAACCCGAUCAUAAACAAUAACAUAAUACGUAUAACGGGCUCGCGAGGACGACGGCACUUUUGCGGGGAAAAUGUGACGGAAUCGCUAAUUUUCCGAGGGUAAUAAUAAUAAUAAUAAUAAUAAUGAAAAUAAUUUUGUCAUUUUCGUUUUGUUCGGUUGUGUCUGCACGAUGGUUUUGCAGCGUGUACAAAAUAAC